UACAGAGGAUGCAAGCGUUAUCCGGAAUUAUUGGGCGUAAAGAGCUCGUAGGCGGUUUGUUGCGUCGGCUGUGAAAACCUGAGGCUCAACCUCAGGCCUGCAGUCGAUACGAGCAGACUAGAGUGUUGCAGGGGAGACUGGAAUUCCUGGUGUAGCGGUGAAAUGCGCAGAUAUCAGGAGGAACACCGGUGGCGAAGGCAGCUCGCUGGGACGGUAUUGACGCUGAGGCGCGAAAGCGUGGAGGAAGCAACGGG
rnacentral:rRNA from 1 species